UUAAGCGACUAAGCGUACACGGUGGAUGCCCUGGCAGUCAGAGGCGAUGAAGGACGUGCUAAUCUGCGAAAAGCGUCGGUAAGGUGAUAUGAACCGUUAUAGCCGGCGAUGUCCGAAUGGGGAAACCCAGUGUGAUUCGUCACACUAUCGUUAACUGAAUACAUAGGUUAACGAGGCGAACCGGGGGAACUGAAACAUCUAAGUACCCCGAGGAAAAGAAAUCAACCGAGAUUCCCCCAGUAGCGGCGAGCGAACGGGGAGCAGCCCAGAGUCUGAAUCAGCUUGUGUGUUAGUGGAACGGUCUGGAAAGUCCGACGGUACAGGGUGAUAGUCCCGUACACCAAAAUGCACAGGCUGUGAACUCGAAGAGUAGGGCGGGACACGUGGUAUCCUGUCUGAAUAUGGGGGGACCAUCCUCCAAGGCUAAAUACUCCUGACUGACCGAUAGUGAACCAGUACCGUGAGGGAAAGGCGAAAAGAACCCCGGCGAGGGGAGUGAAAAAGAACCUGAAACCGUGUACGUACAAGCAGUGGGAGCACCUUCGGGUGUGACUGCGUACCUUUUGUAUAAUGGGUCAGCGACUUAUAUUCUGUAGCAAGGUUAACCGUAUAGGGGAGCCGCAGGGAAACCGAGUCUUAACUGGGCGUUAAGUUGCAGGGUAUAGACCCGAAACCCGGUGAUCUAGCCAUGGGCAGGUUGAAGGUUGGGUAACACUAACUGGAGGACCGAACCGACUAAUGUUGAAAAAUUAGCGGAUGACUUGUGGCUGGGGGUGAAAGGCCAAUCAAACCGGGAGAUAGCUGGUUCUCCCCGAAAGCUAUUUAGGUAGCGCCUCGUGAACUCAUCUUCGGGGGUAGAGCACUGUUUCGGCUAGGGGGUCAUCCCGACUUACCAACCCGAUGCAAACUACGAAUACCGAAGAAUGUUAUCACGGGAGACACACGGCGGGUGCUAACGUCCGUCGUGAAGAGGGAAACAACCCAGACCGCCAGCUAAGGUCCCAAAGUCAUGGUUAAGUGGGAAACGAUGUGGGAAGGCACAGACAGCCAGGAUGUUGGCUUAGAAGCAGCCAUCAUUUAAAGAAAGCGUAAUAGCUCACUGGUCGAGUCGGCCUGCGCGGAAGAUGUAACGGGGCUAAACCAUGCACCGAAGCUGCGGCAGCGACACUAUGUGUUGUUGGGUAGGGGAGCGUUCUGUAAGCCUGCGAAGGUGACCUGUGAGGGUUGCUGGAGGUAUCAGAAGUGCGAAUGCUGACAUAAGUAACGAUAAAGCGGGUGAAAAGCCCGCUCGCCGGAAGACCAAGGGUUCCUGUCCAACGUUAAUCGGGGCAGGGUGAGUCGACCCCUAAGGCGAGGCCGAAAGGCGUAGUCGAUGGGAAACAGGUUAAUAUUCCUGUACUUGGUGUUACUGCGAAGGGGGGACGGAGAAGGCUAUGUUAGCCGGGCGACGGUUGUCCCGGUUUAAGCAUGUAGGCUGGUUAUCCAGGCAAAUCCGGAUAAUCAAGGCUGAGGUGUGAUGACGAGGCACUACGGUGCUGAAGUAACAAAUGCCCUGCUUCCAGGAAAAGCCUCUAAGCAUCAGGUAACAUCAAAUCGUACCCCAAACCGACACAGGUGGUCAGGUAGAGAAUACCAAGGCGCUUGAGAGAACUCGGGUGAAGGAACUAGGCAAAAUGGUGCCGUAACUUCGGGAGAAGGCACGCUGGUGUGUAGGUGAAGCCCCUGCGGGUGGAGCUGAGACCAGUCGAAGAUACCAGCUGGCUGCAACUGUUUAUUAAAAACACAGCACUGUGCAAACACGAAAGUGGACGUAUACGGUGUGACGCCUGCCCGGUGCCGGAAGGUUAAUUGAUGGGGUUAUCCGUAAGGAGAAGCUCUUGAUCGAAGCCCCGGUAAACGGCGGCCGUAACUAUAACGGUCCUAAGGUAGCGAAAUUCCUUGUCGGGUAAGUUCCGACCUGCACGAAUGGCGUAAUGAUGGCCAGGCUGUCUCCACCCGAGACUCAGUGAAAUUGAACUCGCUGUGAAGAUGCAGUGUACCCGCGGCAAGACGGAAAGACCCCGUGAACCUUUACUAUAGCUUGACACUGAACAUUGAGCCUUGAUGUGUAGGAUAGGUGGGAGGCUUUGAAGCGUGGACGCCAGUCUGCGUGGAGCCAACCUUGAAAUACCACCCUUUAAUGUUUGAUGUUCUAACGUUGGCCCCUUAUCGGGGUUGCGGACAGUGUCUGGUGGGUAGUUUGACUGGGGCGGUCUCCUCCCAAAGCGUAACGGAGGAGCACGAAGGUUAGCUAAUCCUGGUCGGACAUCAGGAGGUUAGUGCAAUGGCAUAAGCUAGCUUGACUGCGAGCGUGACGGCGCGAGCAGGUGCGAAAGCAGGUCAUAGUGAUCCGGUGGUUCUGAAUGGAAGGGCCAUCGCUCAACGGAUAAAAGGUACUCCGGGGAUAACAGGCUGAUACCGCCCAAGAGUUCAUAUCGACGGCGGUGUUUGGCACCUCGAUGUCGGCUCAUCACAUCCUGGGGCUGAAGUAGGUCCCAAGGGUAUGGCUGUUCGCCAUUUAAAGUGGUACGCGAGCUGGGUUUAGAACGUCGUGAGACAGUUCGGUCCCUAUCUGCCGUGGGCGCUGGAGAAUUGAGGGGGGCUGCUCCUAGUACGAGAGGACCGGAGUGGACGCAUCACUGGUGUUCGGGUUGUCAUGCCAAUGGCACUGCCCGGUAGCUAAAUGCGGAAGAGAUAAGUGCUGAAAGCAUCUAAGCACGAAACUUGCCCCGAGAUGAGUUCUCCCUGAGACUUUAAGUCUCCUGAAGGAACGUUGAAGACGACGACGUUGAUAGGCCGGGUGUGUAAGCGCAGCGAUGCGUUGAGCUAACCGGUACUAAUGAACCGUGAGGCUUAACCUU
rnacentral:rRNA from 1 species